UUGGAGGGCAAGUCUGGUGCCAGCAGCCGCGGUAAUUCCAGCUCCAAUAGCGUAUAUUAAAGUUGUUGCAGUUAAAAAGCUCGUAGUUGAAUUUCGAGACCGGCUUACUGGUCGUGCUAUUGUGCGUACUGGUAUAAUCGGUUUCUCCUUUCUGACGAACUAUAAUGCCAUUAAUUUGGUGUUAUAGGGAAUCAGGACUGUUACUUUGAAAAAAUUAGAGUGUUUAAAGCAGGCUCACGCUUGAAUACAUUAGCAUGGAAUAACGGAAUAGGACGUUUGAUUCUAUUUUGUUGGUUUCUAGGAUCGACGUAAUGAUUAAUAGGGAUAGUUGGGGGCAUUAGUAUUCAAUUGUCAGAGGUGAAAUUCUUGGAUUUAUUGAAGACUAACUACUGCGAAAGCAUUUGCCAAGGAUGUUUUCAUUAAUCAAGAACGAAAGUUAGGGGAUCGAAGACGAUCAGAUACCGUCGUAGUCUUAACCAUAAACUAUGCCGACUAGGGAUCGUAUGAUGUUAAUUUUUUAAUGACUCAUUCGGCGCCUUACGGGAAAC
rnacentral:rRNA from 1 species